AUUGAACGCUGGCGGCAUGCCUUACACAUGCAAGUCGAACGGUAACGCGGGGCAACCUGGCGACGAGUGGCGAACGGGUGAGUAACGCAUCGGAACGUGCCCAGUAGUGGGGGAUAGCCCGGCGAAAGCCGGAUUAAUACCGCAUACGACCUACGGGUGAGAGCGGGGGACCGCAAGGCCUCGCGCUGUUGGAGCGGCCGAUGUCAGAUUAGGUAGUUGGUGGGGUAAGGGCCUACCAAGCCUGCGAUCUGAGGCUGGUCUGAGAGGACGACCAGCCACACUGGGACUGAGACACGGCCCAGACUCCUACGGGAGGCAGCAGUGGGGAAUUUUGGACAAUGGGGGAAACCCUGAUCCAGCCAUGCCGCGUGCGGGAAGAAGGCCUUCGGGUUGUAAACCGCUUUUGUCAGGGAAGAAAUCCCUCGGGCCAAUACCCUGGGGGGAUGACGGUACCUGAAGAAUAAGCACCGGCUAACUACGUGCCAGCAGCCGCAGUAAUAC
rnacentral:rRNA from 1 species